rfam:Peptococcaceae bacterium BRH_c23 BRHa_1006920, whole genome shotgun sequence.
CCCUUGGAGUGUUAUAUCAAACGAAAGUAGCCUUCGGGCAAAAUCGGACACGAUGAAUAGGGAA